UACGAGGGGGGGCAAGCGUUGUUUCGGAAUUAUUUGGGCGUAAAGGGCGCGUAGGCGGUGCGGUAAGUCACCUGUGAAAACUCUGGGCUCAACUCAGAGCCUGCAGGCGAAAACUGCCGUGCUUGAGUGUGGGAGAGGUGCGUGGAAUUUCCCGGUGUAGCGGUGAAAUGCGUAGAUAUCGGGAGGAACACCUGUGGCGAAAGCGGCGCACUGGACCACAACUGACGCUGAGGAACGAAAGCUAGGGGAGCAAACAGG
rnacentral:rRNA from 1 species